GAGUGGCACAAUGGGUCAGUGCAUCUGCCUGUUAACCAGAAGGUUGGUGGUUUGAGUCCAGUCAUGGACA